UGCUUACUAGCUAGCUCACUCAGGUCCCCUAAACCUUUCCUACAUCUAGUGUAUAAUAACCUAGCCCAUAUUAAACAAAACAUUUUUCCUCUUUAGUAUAGGCGAUAGAAAAAGAACUUGAAGCCAUAGAUAAAGUACCGCAAGGGAACGCUGAAAGAGAAAUGAAACAAACCAGUCAAGCCCAAAGAAGCAAAGAUUACCCCCUGUACCUUUUGCAUCAUGCUUUAGCUAGAAUACAUCAAGCAAAAGGUAUUGUAGUUUGACACCCCGAAACCAAGGGAGCUACUCCAGGGCAGCCUAAUUUAGAAGGGCCCCCCCCGUUCCUGUGGCAAAAGGAUGGAAAGACCCUCGAGUAGAGGUGAAAAACCUAUUCGAACUUGGUUAUAGCUGGUUGCCUGUAAAUUGAAUUGAAGUUCAGCCCCUUAAGCUUCUCCCCACCGCUUGGACUACUGUAUGUUUUGGUCCCCGAGAACGUAAGGGAGUUACUCAAAAGAGGUACAGCUCUUUUGAGAUAAGAAACAACUUUAUCCGGAGGGUUAAGACCAUUUUAAACUAGGCGACGUAUAUUAGUGGGCCCGAAAGCAGCCAUCUUUGCAGAAAGCGUUAAAGCUCAAGUAUCCCCCCCCCCGCCCUAAAUUCAGGUUAUUAUUCUUAUCCCCCCAUACACAACAGGCCAUCUCAUGUCUACAUGAAAGAGAUAAUGCUAAUAUGAGUAAUAAGAGGCCCGCCCCUCUCCCAGCACAAGCGUAUAUCGGAGCGGACCCUCCCCCGAAACUUAACGGCCCCAAUAAGAGGGUUUUGUGUAACAAAUAAACAACAAGAAAACUAUCCUACCUUUGACCGUUAACCUUACACUAGCGUGCCCCCCGGGAAAGACUCAAAGAAAAAGAAGGAACUCGGCAAACACCUAUUGAAGCCUCGCCUGUUUACCAAAAACAUCGCCUUCUGACAACCAAAUAUAGAAGGUCUGGCCUGCCCUGUGACACAUGUUUAACGGCCGCGGUAUCUUGACCGUGCGAAGGUAGCGCAAUCACUUGUCUUUUAAAUGGGGACCUGUAUGAAUGGCACAACGAGGGCUUGACUGUCUCCUUUUUCCUGUCAAUGAAAUUGAUCUCCCCGUGCAGAAGCGGGGAUGCUCCCAUAAGACGAGAAGACCCUGUGGAGCUUUAGACACCAAGGCAGCCCCCCGUUAAAAAGGCAUCUCACCCGCCUAUAAACCUCUUCCCCCUGCUUUACUGUCUUUGGUUGGGGCGACCGCGGAGAACUUAAAAAUCCUCCAUGUGGACCGAGAGCAUUUACUCAGAACUAAGGGUGACAACCCUAAGGACCAGAACAUCUGACCAAACAUGAUCCGGCAGUGCCGAUCAACGGACCGAGUUACCCCAGGGAUAACAGCGCAAUCCUCUUUUAGAGCCCAUAUCGACAAGAGGGUUUACGACCUCGAUGUUGGAUCAGGACAUCCUAAUGGUGCAGCCGCUAUUAAGGGUUCGUUUGUUCAACGAUUAAAGUCCUACGUGAUCUGAGUUCAGACCGGAGCAAUCCAGGUCAGUUUCUAUCUAUGCCGUGCUUCUUUCUAGUACGAAAGGACCGAAAAAAGAGGGCCUCUGCUCACAGUACGCCUUACCCCUACUUUAUGCAAACAACUCAAUACGACAAUGGGGCGCACCUCCUUGCCAAAGAUCAUGGCAAU
rnacentral:rRNA from 1 species